rnacentral:rRNA from 1 species
AUGCAAGUCGAGGGGCAUCAGUUUGGUUUGCUUGCAAACCAAAGCUGGCGACCGGCGCACGGGUGAGUAACGCGUAUCCAACCUGCCCUUUACUCCGGGAUAGUCUCCUGAAAGGGAAUUUAAUACCGGAUGUGUUUGUCUUUCCGCAUGGGAGCGACAAAUAAAGAUUGAUUGGUAAAGGAUGGGGAUGCGUCCCAUUAGCUUGUUGGCGGGGUAACGGCCCACCAAGGCGACGAUGGGUAGGGGUUCUGAGAGGAAGGUCCCCACAUUGGAACUGAGACACGGUCCAAACUCC